GCUAACCCCUUUUUCCAGUCUCUGCUAGCUAUGUGCCUGUGUGUUAUGUGUUGUGCAAUUCGCUCAAGAUAUGCAAGGUUGGCUUGAUCUGAAUUCUAAUGGUUGUGCGUGUGUUGUGCACCAAUUUUUCUGGUGGAUCAUUGGCGGAGGAGCAAGGUAGAGUUGCCGCUCCUGAAGUUUUUGACGUAUCCGUGAGGGACAAGUGCAGCGUGAGGGACCACUAUGAACUCAUGAUGUUAUACAAAUGAAGCUAAAUGAGAUAUGACAUAUUUUCCAAGGGAGAUAUUGGAAGGGUUUCGUCUUGCUUCAGGAAUGCAGCCUCCUUUCGGUACACAGACUUAGGAAAUCAAAGCGAUGGCAAAACACUCUACUGCAAGUGUUGACUUGAGGAUAUCUCAUGAAUGUGUUAUACUCCUUGACACUCAGCCGGUAUACAGUCCAUCCAUCCUAAUUGAUAUGAUGAUGCCAGAUGGUUCAUCAGCACUUACUGUUCUUAGUGGUGAUCCAUUACCAGCAGAUCUGGCCGGUGAGAUAAUGGGAAUUCAGCCGGAGCAACUCAGAGAUGGUGCAGGGGAAUACGUUCACCAAUCUUGAUAUAUUUGGACUGACAUAUUGUAGUUCCAAACCAUACAGUCAUCUCGGCCAUUCAUUAAUACUUUACUGCUAUGAAUUACUUAUGCCUUGCUGCCUUAAGUUGUGCUAUGGUUCUUCCUUUAAAAGCUUGUAUUUAAGUGUAACCUAUCCAAUUUAAGUGUAUAUCCACUGUGUAUCUAACCCGGCUUAGUUUCUCUUUUCAUUAGCUUUCUUUCAUGAUGAGCUGUCGAGUUUGCCAGUUCCUUGCUUCUCUGGGUAACUCAGGGUGUUAUUAUGGAUCUGGUUAUAUAUUUAAGUGAUGCAUGAUCAGGAGUAAUUUUCCCUACCAUGAUUUUAGUUGUUUUUGCAUGUUCACUACAACAAGAUUCUAUUAAUAGUAAGACGGUCGGUAUGAUCCACUUUCAAUCUCCUUUGAAUAUUAGGUUUAACUCAAAAAUAAUGUAGGGAACUGUCUGCAUGGAACAAUAAACUGUACUGAAAUAUCCUUAGUACUCAAGUUGGUUCUUGAACUGUCAAAGAAACAAUAGAAGCAUUUGCGAAGGAUUUUGAUUUGUAUCUAUGCCAUAAUUUCCAAGUCUAUUCUUGACAUUGACCUAGGUUUUUUGCCAAAUCUACAGCAGAAGCAUUACUCUAUGUGGGCAGCCUCUUCCCCUGUUUUCCUUCAGUUUCUUAGCUUUCUGAGCAUCAUUUGAAAUAUGAUGGGCUUGUUUGAUUUUAUUUAGUUCAGUUAUCUUGGCAGAGCCAAAUUUAUGUUGUUGUUGACAGUACUCUGAUCAUUUUGUAUGGUCAUGUCCCCUGGCCCCUUCCCAUAUUUACUGUAUUUUCACCUUGUUUAUGUCGACCUGGUGAAUUUAUAUCAGUUUUUCUGCAUUUCAUAAUUGACACCCUUGAAGGUGCAAGGUUGUGGCUCAUAAGUCAUAACUUGAAUUAUGGUGUUUGAAUGCAUGCAUCUCUGAUAGAAAUAGAGACAUCAAACAUGUAACAGUUAGCCAUGUUUACUGAAACAUUUUAUCAAAUUAUUUUGUUUCCCCGUUCUUUGUGGAUUGGUUAGGAACGAGGAGUGCGCCUAUGCCUGGUGAUUAAAGCCUGCAGCAAAGAUGUGGCUGGCUGGUUGUUGACUACUCCCUAGCGCAGAAGAUUUCCAUGGCGUAGUUAGGCCGUGGAUGUGACCCUUCAGUAUGCCCUUCUUUCUUGUGCUCUGAUCUGUUCAUUUUCUGCCGACGCUGAGCUACAACAAGAGACUAACGUUAGUGGGAUAUCAGGUGCUUGGUCAUAAAUUCAUUAGCGUGAUAUAGUAGUCUCCACUCUAUCUCAUGAAAGGUUGUACUCUCCUAUUGGUUGUGGAAUAUAAUUUCUUCAUGAUCCUCUGCCGCAGCCAAGGAACUACAGGGCAAAUUUCUACCAUACAUCGUCUUGGCCUCUUCACACCAGCCCAGUACUAAGCAUUACCACAACGAGGAGUUCACAGCGCUGACUACGCUAGAAGUUCAUUUUCAUAAGGGACAAAGGAGACAACCUUUGUUGGUGCACGGUCUUGAAGAGGCUGGUCUCGAAGAGGUACUAACCUGCACCAGAAGAUCAAGGAGUUCACUAGGCCCUAAGGUGAUUUCAUAGGUGAUUAAAGAUCAGAUGCUUCACAUUAUCUGCAAGCUCGCGAGAUCUGCACGGAAUCAAUCGCAGAGGAAAAGAUCCUGAGAUCGACAUGAAGCAAGGACAGAACAAGGCAUGAAGAUCAACGAGCAGCCGCAUAUGAUCGUGGCGGACCUAUUGUUCAAUAUUGGCGAGAAGCCGCACCUGGUGUUCACCCAAGAUGGCAAUGAAAUGAUGGUGAGGUAGAAGGUACCCCUCUAAGACAGCCCUGAAGGGGAACAUGAUGUACCGGACGACAUGAGAUGUGCAUACUGGUGCCCAAUGCAAUCUUUCUUUGCUGACUUAUCUCUCACAUGCAAUAAAGAUUUCAGAUAUGCUUAUGUUAUGUCCCUUCUCACUAAAGAUAAAAUUGUCUGACUUAAACAAUGUAACCAAGAAACAAAUCACUGAUUCUCACAUUUGGGAGAUCCAAAAAUGUUCGAGCUUAUAAAAGAACAAAAUUUGUUGCUUCCAGUAACUAAUAAGUAUGAGAUUCAAUAGUUAUGGAGAUUUUUUUUUAUGUCAAUUGCUUCCAGUAUUUUAAUAUUGGUAGUAAAUUUUUAUUGCUUUACUAUGAAAUGAACAUUGGCACAAGUUUUACGGGCUCGUGCGCCAAUGCGCACAUCUAAAUCUAGUCUAAAGGUGUAUAUGAUGCCCCCCAUAGGGGGCCUCACAGCGCUUUGGAUUUUCGGCCGUCAGAUCGAGCUGACGUGGCGCGAUCUCAGCCGUCGAUUUCGUCCAGGGUGCGCGGCCCUCCCACGAACCCGCGUUUUAUCCACGGGUCGUGUGAAAGCCCGCGCGGCCCGUUCGCUCCGCUCUCACCUGCCUCGCACGUCCUCCUCUCCCCCUCGCGCCCCUCGCAUCGCCGCCGCCGCCGCCGCCAGCUCCCAAUCCCGUCGCCCCCUCCUCCUCCACAAUCCCCUGCAGCGCCUCCUCCUCCAAUCCUCCCGCUCAUCCUUCCCCAAUCUUCUUCCAAUGGCAGCCGGCCACCAGCCCAGGAAGCUCCUCCUCUAGGGCAGGGACGGCGAGCUCCUCUUGGGCGGGCGGCAACCGCGUGUCGUCGGACGGCGGAGAUGGCUGGGGCGGGCGGUCAGAGCAGCGUCGGUCGUCCUCCUCCACAGGCUCUACUGCCGGAGGCUGCCCCGUCGGGCGAGCAACAACAGGAUGCCAUGAGGCGAACGAUUGACGCAUGUGAGAAGCCAGGACAAGAUGUUGAGACGGAGGCGGGCUCACGAGCUGGUUGACCCCUGCAGACGCAUCCUCGACUCCGUGGUGAGCGGCGGCUGCUGCAUCUGGUUGCCGGCGCGGCUCUGGCCCCCAUCCUCUACUCCGUGUUGAGCAGUGACCGAUGCUUCUGGUCGCCCGGCGCUGCUCUGACCGUGUGGUUCAGCUGCUCCUCUCCCUCCUCGAGGUUGAGGUAAAAGUGGAGCCCAACUCCUCCUCUUUGAUUUAAUCUCUGGAACACCUCAUCUCAGAUUGUGCAGAUCCAUUUAUCUAUGCUUAGAAGGUGUUUGGUAAAAAUCCUAGGUAAGAUUAGUGUAUAUUUAUGCUCCAUCUAGCUAUUUGCAAUCUUGUAACUAGGGUACUGGAUGUUAAGGAGAGAGAUUUAUACUUCUAUCCCUUUUCAUUAACAAUAAAUAUGUUGUCCUUUAUGUUUGACUCAGCUAGUCAUGUGAAGCACAAUAAAUUUGAAGCAAAAAAAGUCUGCCUACAACUUAUCAAUGUCUUGGCCAACGAGGGCACCGAGAAGAUGUCCGGUUUCGAUUUGCUAGAGAUUUUGCCACUUCAACUAUUGUGUAAACCUUUUUGGACCUACGCGCCAAGAUCUCAUCUGCUACAAGGUUCACCAGGUUGGGCGUGCAACCUGGAGCCAACAGUGUGCUAGCUAUUGGAGAAUGUGUGGGAGGGCAUGGUGGCAUAAGUGCGAGUGCUCAGUGGUGUUAUCAUUUGGAGGCAGAUAAAUUAUUUGGUGGAUCAGUUUGCAGCAUGUACGCCUUAAUUGACCAACACUGAAAGUGCCAAAUGGAACACUACAGAGAAAUGGAACAAGUGUUUCUUAUUGACAGUCCAAAUCUUAUAAUGAAGACGAUAAUUUGAAGGGAGAUGGUGCAGCUCUAAUUACGGAUGAUUUUUGCGAAGAGGAACAAGGAUAUACUCUAAUCUGUAGCGAGAUUCUUAUUGAUGAUAUUGAUGGUGAAUCUCCGGUUGCAAGAGAGCAUAUUUGCCUUGAGGGAUGCCAAUAUAUUUCCAUCUGUAGAUGUAAGUGAUUCGUCAAAGAUGUUGUAUGUGAAGCAAUCACAAGUGCAUCAGGGGAUAUAUAUCUUAGGCCUUAUAUACUUUCCCUGCAAGAGAACAAAAAUUCCAAUAGCCUCUUUUUCAAAUGAUUUCUAAUGGCUGGCCAAUAUCAUAGAUCUUGGUUGGGAGCUAAUAUCCAAAUUCUUGUGUUAGUGCAAUGAGGUUAAUUUCCAUAUACCGUAGUUUGCUGAAAAAUUGUUUUCAUAAUAAGUGGUACAUUAAUUUCUCAUUUUCUACAGAUAAGUGUGUUUGUUUGUUUUCAAUUUUUUUGAGAAUGAGUAUCAGCUUUAAGUUGCUGUUAUUUCUACCAUUUGACUUGGAUGUGAUAGAUUAGUUUCUCAUUUCUAAGAUCCCUCUCUUCCUCCUUGAAGAAUGUCCAUUUUCGAUAUUCAUGAUUCCUGUUGUGAACAUAUUAUUUCAAGUCCUAAAGAGGAUGUUUCUCCAUCCUUAUUGUGCGAUGUGGCAAGGCAGUCUGUGAGCAUGGUAUUGCAAUGGUCAGUGGUGGCUUGCGUCGCCGUGUACUGAUUAACAUUCUCCAGCGCCUAUUAGCUGCUUCUCUCCAGCCCUGAGUAAAAUUUUAUGCUACUCAAGAUGAUUUUUUUAUCAUGGCUUUAUAGAUAUCAAAAUAUCAUCUAGAGAAAACAAUUAAUGGGCUACAUAUGUGUUUUCUCCUGUCCAUGUUCAUUUCACACCCAUUGAGCUAUCGAACAACAUGAUGAAACGUGUAGUAGGGCAUGCGCAAAUUUAUUUGGAACCAGCUAGCACCAAAUCUGAGCUAGAUGUUACUAAUAGGUUCCGAAGGAAGGUUUAACUGGAUUAUAGUCUGUUUUAUAGGAAGUGGUGCUUACUAUUUUUGUUUGGUUGUAUUUAUAAUAGUGUGAUCCCUUUAUUCUGCUAGAAACGUGAAUUUGUUGAAAACAUACUCUAUUAAAAAUAUAGUCUCCUGGGCAAGUAUAUAAUGACAUUCUUUAGUUGUUUAUAUGUUCUUUUUAUAAUCAACUUUAUUUGCAUGUUCAUGUCCCUGCUUUCUUUUAUAAAUAACUUACGCAUAGCUUUCCAUUUUUCUCCACAGGAUAAAUUGUGAAGAUGCUUGAGGUACACUAUCGCCAUCCCUUCCUAAUACCUCACUAGCGUUGUAUUCAGAGUUGGGCAGGAAGUUUGCUAUAUGAGACUACAUACAAGUUACAUGUUUUGUUCUUAAUUAUCUUUCCUCUGUAUUCAUUUUUCAUUGUUUGGGGAUCUGGGAGCAAGUUUAUCAUCUGAAACUUACUUCCAGUUAUAGAUUCUGGUCUCAUCUUACAUAUUUGUUAACACAUUUUCAGUAAAUGGGCGAUGUAUGGACAGGCAAGUUGCAUGCUUUACAUUGCGAUUGAGAUGAUAUUUUCUCUUUUAUUUUUUCUAGCACUAGAAAAUAUAACGGUUUGGCGACUAAUCAUGUUCUGUAGGGCGUGCGACUGCUUGAGCUUGAAGAAUCUUUCUUCCACCGGCAUGGUUUUUUAACAGAGUGCUUAACUUACAUUCAUUCUGACUUUACAUGCUUGAUCUAGAUGAAUUUAUGCCAAAUGAUCUACUCACUAACUCAAAUUCACGGAUAUACAUAUUCCAAUGCAUUUUAUAUUCUUCCUGUGAUCGCUUGCCUCAUCUUGCGGAUGCCUCAGUAGAUGUAUGUCUAGCUGGGAUGAAUGCUGCGAGAUUUUGAUGUGCCUGUGGUGAUGAGCUUCUGAAUGAUCAGUCAUUUUAAUUUACAAUGGAAAAUUUGGUCAUGUGUCGCGACUUUCCCAUUUACCCGUUUUGUAUUUUAUUUUCUGUUUAACUUUCGUGCUUGACCUAGGAGUACUCAGAGAAAGAUAUUAGUGUGAUGAUUGAUCCGGAAGCCAAGAUGAACCUAUAGAUUGAAUGACACUGUGGUCUUUCUGAUUGAACAUUUUUUUUGAGGUAUCCUCUAAUCACUGCCACACUCUUGCUGUCAACUCACUCUGCAUCCAUGCCUCUCACCCUAGAUAGUCCAAGUAGAGGAUAAGGAGCUGAGGUUACAAUGUGCAAAGCUCUUCUGGUUAUGACUAUUUAAUGGCCAAUACACUUCUUUUGAUGAAAUGAUCAAUAAGAGAUGAACAUACGUGAUGCUCUUAAGCAGCGACGAGUUGUUUGAGGAAAUGCCCAUAAGGGAAUAAAAUGUGAGUAUACAUGGUAAUAUUAUUAUAUUUUGUACUAGCUAUGUUUAUUCCAAUGAUUCAAGAAAUGAAAGAACAAUUGGAAUAAAAAAUAUUUGUUUUAUUUCUUUGAAAAUACUAGAAUUUUAGGAAAUAACUUGCCAUGUAUAGGUACAAUCUUACAUAGACUACAAUCUUUGUUUUACAAAAGGAUUAAAAUCCCAAAUACAAACUUGAAAUUAAUUGGUGAGGGCGAUAUUUUUUGUCUUCCUGUGACUGGCACCCCUUUCACCGGUUAUUUAAUUGUAAAAGGUAAACAAUGUUAUAUGCAUUCUUAUUUUCACUUAAGUUUUCAUAAUUAAUGAAGUGAUGGGUAAUACUAUUUUUCAUUUUAUGUGAUAAAUCACACAGCAAUCAUGUUCUAUCUUCCAGUGGACAAUGUAUAUUGUACUGCUAUGUUAUAUUUAUUGGGACAUUCGAUUUUCAUGCCAUUUUUCAGAAUCAUGGGUUAACAUGAACAUAAUAUUUUAUCAUAUUUCCAAGUUAUAGACAUAAGGCAAUCCAGCUUAAUUAUUAUUUUGUCAUUGCCAUGCUCUAGAGUACCCAAUAUUUUGAGUAAAUGAAUGCUUGCUGAAGAAAAUAAGAACAACACAUAAAUGAAUAUUUAUUGAUUUUUUUAAAUAAGUGAGUAAAUGGAUGUUUUCCUGAGGACAAUUAAUGAAUGUUUUAGGAUCUAACAUGGCUGAUAAGUUUGGCCUGCACUCUGCUUGAAGCAAUCAGGCAUGUCUUGGUCAUGGUGUGGGUGAUCGUGUUGUAUGGUUGUACAUCAGAAGAAUUUGUUUAUGAUCCGAAGUUCUAUUAAGAACUCGAGUGUUUUCUGGGUUACAGUGACGGGCUUUGGCUUGUGCCCUCUCUUAAAUAAUUUAUGUUCAAUAUAUAUGAUCCCUGCAGUUUCAGUAUAAACAACUUUUGAUGUGUUGUGGACAAGUCACGAUAUAGCUCUAUGGACAUGGACUAAAGAUUGGCAAAGGAGUGAGGUUGGAGUUAUAUGGCAGCCAGCAAGGUCAUCAAUAUCUCUGUUACUACCAUUGCCACAUUCAAUUUGCCAGAUGUGCUUUCUUAUAAUGUUACCAAGCAUAUGCCAAUUCAUUUCUCUGUCCAUAUAGUUGUGAUAAUGUCAGCAUAGCUGUUUGUUUCAGGCUCAACAUGAUAUCAGCCUCUGCUUCUAGCUUUUCUUUUUCCAGGAGUCUUAGACUUCUCAUGGAUGUAUCUUUUAUGUUCUUAACAUUCUAUGGACUAAAUAAUAUUUGUUAUUCCUUUUA